CGAUGACGUCGCCGGCCUCGUCCAGCUCCAUGUCGCCCUCCGUCGCCAGGAUGCGCUGCACGGUCUGCAGGACGUUGGUUGCCAUGGUAACAUCGCCGCAGACAAACAUGUGGCCCCGCUCGAGGCACAGCACGCGGUGCACCUCCGCAGCCAGCUCCGUCCUCAGGAUGUCCUGCACGUAGGUUACCAUUGCGCCCUCAGGGUCUCACACCUUGGGGUUGUCAGGUUCCCGGGAGAAGGCGGUGAGGACUCGGCCAAACACCCCGCGCUGCUGGGCGUUCUGCACCUCGUCGCGGUAGAGAUGGUCAAGUUGGGAGCAUCGGCAGCCGAACACCAAAGUCAUGGGAGUGGGCUGCAGCCCUGCAAGCAACCCCGCGCUUGGGAAGGCUCUUCUCCGGGGCACAGUGCUAGUGGGGCCUCCCCACAGGCCACCGUCGCCCAGCCUGGCAGCCCAGCGUUUUGGGCUGAAACCACCAUUACUUUGGCUGUUUCAUCUCUAAGAGAGUGUAGAAUGCUUUCACAGAGACCCUGCACAGCCCUGAUUUACAGAGGGAAGGGAAGCGCGGGUGAGGUGGUGGCCCCUGGUGGAGCUGCGCUAGAAUGCGCGGCUUCGGACUCAGAAUUCCAUGCCCUUUGCAUUGUGUGACAUCGCAGUCCCCUUCCCCGCUCCCACUUCAUAUUCUCCCAUACUUAUAACUCUCCUCCCAGUCACAGCCCUCUUCUUUUGAUUGACAGACCACCCUGGGCACCCCAUGCUCAAUAUGAACACCUUGUAGCAUCCUUAGGUCUUGGACAGACCUCGGUCAGCUCUGGCACAGUCAAGAAUCCACCUUGGGCAGUUCUUCUUUGAGUCUUAGCCCUAAUCCCUUUGAAAAUUCUAUUUUCCUUUGUCCUCAAUCCAGUCAACACCUACUAUGUACCAGGCACCAGGAAGCCAGAAGCUCAGGGCCCAGCCCUUGCCUUUGGUACCUGCCCUCCCCUUGGUCUCAUGAGCGUCUUUUCAGCUUUGUGGACUUUGUUUCCUGCCCUCUCUUUCCUAUUUCCUGCCUUCCAGCCCCACCCCUCUGUCCCUAGAUUGUGUGACUCCCUUCAGGCAGUCCUUUAGUCCCCAGCCUCACCUUUGCUCUCAAUGUCAUGCAGCCGCUCCUGCCAGAAUCCCCGGAAGGGGGCAAUGCCAGUGCCUGGACCCACCAGGAUGCAGGGCAAGCUGGGAUCGGGUGGCAGCCGGAAGGAGGGAGCCCUGGCAGGAGAGACACUCCAUCAGGUCCCCUUUGCCUUUCCUGCUCCACCAUUCUCACCAUGCAGGGUGGGUGGAGCAAGGAGGACCCAAGUUCUUCC
rnacentral:lncRNA from 1 species